rnacentral:rRNA from 1 species
GAUGAACGCUGGCGGCGUGCUUAACACAUGCAAGUCGAACGAAGAUGCCGGAGUGCUUGCACUUUGGCAGACUGAGUGGCGGACGGGUGAGUAACGCGUGGGUAACCUGCCUUAUACAGGGGGACAACAGUUGGAAACGACUGCUAAUACCGCAUAAGCGCACAGUACCGCAUGGUACAGAGCGAAAAAACUCCGGUGGUAUAGGAUGGGCCCGCGUCUGAUUAGUUAGUUGGCGGUGUAACGGACCACCAAGACGACGAUCAGUAGCCGGCUUGAGAGAGUGAACGGCCACAUUGGGACUGAGACACGGCCCAAACUCCUACGGGAGGCAGCAGUGGGGAAUAUUGCACAAUGGGGGGAAACCCUGAUGCAGCAACGCCGCGUGAGUGAAGAAGUAUUUCGGUAUGUAAAGCUCUAUCAGCAGGGAAGAAAUGACGGUACCUGACUAAGAAGCCCCGGCUAACUACGUG